ensembl:lncRNA
CACAGUAUACACACAUAUAUUAUGUAAACAAAACUUUUAUUUUGGAUGUGAUUAAUCGUGAUUAAUCAUUUGACAGCCCUAAUUAAUACAUUAACAAUAUUAAGUACACUGUAAAAAUGAUUUUUUCAUUGUAAAUAAAGCAGAUUGUUGGAGUACCUUUUACAAGAAAAUAGCCUACUAUUUCAGUCUUUUUACUUCAAAUUUUCACAUUUAACCCAAUGUGUUAUUUUGUUUUGUUGUAAUUAAUUGUGCAAUUUACUAGCAAUUUCUGAGAGAAAAUUUUAACACAAAUUUAGUUUUUGGAAGUGAAAAACAACAUACCACCUUAGUUUACAGUGAAAAAACAUAAGAUAAUUCCUUAGAGUUUCUACAAGGCUUUCUCAAUUACCACCUGUUUUUAUUUUUAGUAGUUAUAUAAAGGUACAAAAUUUGUAACGUUUAUAAAUAUUAUAUCAGUUAAUGAAAUGGGCUAUAUGUUUUUUUUAACUGUAAAUUUUGCCAUGGAUGUGUUCAUAUAGUUUUAUUUAAUUCACCUGAAAUUGUAUUUGAGACACAUAAUGAGCAUAGAUGUUGAGGGAGACGUGUCCAAUAUUCAGAGUACUAUUCAAUCAAUUUAGGUUUUCAAAUUGACUGAUCAUUCAAUUUUAAUAAAAGCAAGCCCACCGCUACUAUCUAGUAGUAUCAAACAAACUAUCUGUCACAAUUUGCUGCUGCAUAAGCUUUAGCCAAAUAUGAGAUUGAAAAGCACUGCAAAGCAAUAAUUAUAAACAAUUUGGGAAGAUGUUUUAAUACACAUCUCAAGAUCAAGGUUACAAAAUUUAAAAAAUGACAAUGUCUUUUAGUUUUAAAAGUCACAUUAACCAAGAGUUUAAAUGCAUUAGUACAUAAUCUGAGGGCAUUUUAGAUAAUUAAAUCUCCUGCAGGCAAUCAAGGCCUUUAGUAGUGCUCCUCACAACCUUUCACCCAGCGUGACAUCUUACGCCCCUUACAGUAACUAUCCCAGGUGUCCCUGCAGACACAAAGAUCAACAUUACAAUUAUGUCAAAAACGCACAUGCACAACAGAUCAAUAAACUAGAUAUAAUGCAGUGAUAGACAUAGCUUGAGGCCAAAUUUCUAAAGGGACAAGCGACCUUUGUUAAUGAGACAAAUAAGCUUUGUCAGUUGUGCCCAAGGAUAUAUGCAAUGAAUACUUGCCAUGAUUUCAGUCCUUCGGUUUUCACAAUGAGCUUUGCACAUUUAACCGAAGCUUUCAGGUCAUCCUGAAGCAAAUCUAUCAAAUGGGAAACAUGUAUAAACAAAAAUGUAAUAUCAAAGUUUAAAAGCACAGAUACAGUGGAGUCAGUUUCUGAGUGAAAACUGUUUCUACACCAAUUGUUUUGUGAGAAUAACUUCUGAAACAAAUAUUUAUACAAUUAAUUGUAUUUUUUUUUUUAUUCUAAAUACAAUUUUGAAUCAUAUUUUUCAGACCCCCACUGUAUUUCAUGCAGCAACAUCCAAAUAAUUCUGGUCAAUUUUUAACUACUAGUCCACUUUAAUACAAGUAGUGUUCAAUAUGUUUUUUGGUCACAUGAAAUAUAUUUCAAGAUAAUAAAGUACCUGAACAGGGCAUUUUGCACAAGUUUUUUCCACCUGGAGUGCCAUCUUCGCACCAUUUGAAACUGUUUAUCUGGAAGAUCCCAUAGUCUUUCCCAGUAUCAGCUGAACGCACUUUGUGGGUCUUAAACUUGCUUUCCCAGUAGGCCGUGCACACAUCUUUGCCUAGCGAGAAUCCCUCAAAUCCAUCAAGUCCCUCUUGCUUGAAGAUACGGGCAACAUCACAGCGACCCAGCCUUCGGCUCUCACACGAGCACAGCCACAUCAGACACAAGACCGCAAUCGCCACCCUCAUUUCUGCACUGCUGCUCAGAAAAUCAGUUAGUAUCUGCUAUCUGAAGAGGAGUUCAGGUGGAGGGUGGAAGCUGUAGAGUGGGAUUAUUUAUAAGUCAAGUGAAAGGUUUGUGUCGCAACCAAUUUUUCACAAGUGCAUGUAGUUUGCAGUUGCUUCAGAUAUGGCUGCUGAGGCAAUAACUGACUUAGUGCUGUUCUAUUUUUACUUCUAAAAGGAAAAAACAUCUAUUUUAUGUGCAGAGAAACUCUAGAAAAAACUAAAUUGAACAUAAGACAAUAU